CUUUCGUUCAUUUCGUUCUUCUCUUUAGCUCUUAUGCUUUGCUUUCCAAUCAUUUUCAAUUAGCUGCAAAGCACAGUGUUAAAAAUUUAUUGUUCAUAAAUUACAUCGUAACAAAUAUUAGUGAAUUUGGUCAUAACAGCUGGCUGUGUUCCAAUAUAAAAAGAUUUAAUGGGCUCCUGUAAUAUAAUGGUAACUAAAAAACAAGGGUAGAGAACACAAAAUAUUGAAUCAUAAUUUUAAGGCCAAAUAA